CAGCAUCAUACCUAACAAGCUGCCUGUGGAACAGCAUACCAGCCCAAAAAUUUGACAUGAGAGAACAGGACCUAGAAAGGGAGAGCUACAGGGCAUCUGCAAACUUUCAUUAAUCAUAUUUGAAAGUAGCAUCUCUCCCCCAAAAAACUAGAAAGAACAUGGAAAAUGUUGCUUUAAA
rnacentral:lncRNA from 12 species